GAUGAAGAACGCAGCGAAAUGCGAUAAGUAAUGCGAAUUGCAGAAUUCAGUGAGUCAUCGAAUCUUUGAACGCACAUUGCGCCCUGUGGUAUUCCGCAGGGCAUGCCUGUUCGAGCGUCAUUUCAACCCUCAAGCUCUGCUUGGUGUUGGGCCCUGCCCGCUGCGGCCGGCCCUAAAGACAGUGGCGGUGCCGCCUGGCCCUGAGCGUAGUACAUCUCUCGCUCCAGUGCCCGGUGGUAGCCUGCCAGAACCCCAACGCUCGUGGUUGACCUCGGAUCAGGUAGGGAUACCCGCUGAACUUAAGCAUAUCAAUAAGCGGAGGA
rnacentral:misc_RNA from 1 species